UAGCUAGUUGGUGAGGUAAAGGCUCACCAAGGCGACGAUCUGUAGCGGGUCUGAGAGGAUGAUCCGCCACACUGGAACUGAGACACGGUCCAGACUCCUACGGGAGGCAGCAGUGGGGAAUUUUGGACAAUGGGGGCAACCCUGAUCCAGCCAUGCCGCGUGAGUGAAGAAGGCCUUCGGGUUGUAAAGCUCUUUCGGCCGGGAAGAAAUCGCAUGGGCCAAUACCCUGUGCGGAUGACGGUACCGGCAUAAGAAGCACCGGCUAACUACGUGCCAGCAGCCGCGGUAAUACGUAGGGUGCGAGCGUUAAUCGGAAUUACUGGGCGUAAAGCGUGCGCAGGCGGUUUUGUAAGACAGGCGUGAAAUCCCCGGGCUCAACCUGGGAACUGCGUUUGUGACUGCAAGGCUAGAGUACGGCAGAGGGGGGUGGAAUUCCACGUGUAGCAGUGAAAUGCGUAGAGAUGUGGAGGAACACCAAUGGCGAAGGCAGCCCCCUGGGUCGAUACUGACGCUCAUGCACGAAAGCGUGGGUAGCAAACAGGAUUAGAUACCCUGGUAGUCCACGCCCUAAACGAUGUCAACUAGGUGUUGGGUGGGUAAAACCAUUUAGUACCGGAGCUAACGCGUGAAGUUGACCGCCUGGGGAGUACGGCCGCAAGGUUAAAACUCAAAGGAAUUGACGGGGACCCGCACAAGCGGUGGAUGAUGUGGAUUAAUUCGAUGCAACGCGAAAAACCUUACCUACCCUUGACAUGUCCAGAAGCCUGAAGAGAUUUGAGUGUGCCCGAAAGGGAACUGGAACACAGGUGCUGCAUGGCUGUCGUCAGCUCGUGUCGUGAGAUGUAGGGUUAAGUCCCGCAACGAGCGCAACCCUUGUCGUUAAUUGCCAUCAUUCAGUUGGGCACUUUAACGAGACUGCCGGUGACAAACCGGAGGAAGGUGGGGAUGACGUCAAGUCCUCAUGGCCCUUAUGGGUAGGGCUUCACACGUCAUACAAUGGUCGGUACAAAGGGUUGCCAAGCCGCGAGGUGGAGCCAAUCCCAGAAAGCCGAUCGUAGUCCGGAUCGUAGGCUGCAACUCGCCUGCGUGAAGUCGGAAUCGCUAGUAAUCGUGGAUCAGCAUGUCACGGUGAAUACGUUCCCGGGUCUUGUACACACCGCCCGUCACACCAUGGGAGCGGGUUCCGCCAGAAGUAGGUAGCCUAACCGCAAGGGGGGCGCUUACCACGGCGGGGUUCGUGACUGGGGUGAAGUCGUAACAAGGUAGCCGUAGGGGAACCUGCGGCUG
rnacentral:rRNA from 1 species